UAACUGUAAAACGAUGCGGACUUGGUGUUGGGGUGGCUUUGAGCUGCUUCAGUGCCGAAGGGAAGCUGUUAAGUCCGCCGCCUGGGAAGUACGGUCGCAAGACUGAAACUUAAAGGAUUGGCGGGGGAGCACCACAACACGUGGAGCCUGCGGUUUAAUUGGAUUCAACGCCGGACAUCUCACCAGAGGCGACAGCUGUAUGAUAGCCAGGUUGAUGACUUUGCUUGACUAGCUGAGAGGAGGUGCAUGGCGUAGUCGUGU
rnacentral:rRNA from 1 species